rnacentral:rRNA from 1 species
GUCGAACGGAGAGAUAUGAGAGCUUGCUCUUGUAAAUCUUAGUGGCGAACGGGUGAGUAACGCGUAAACAACCUGCCCAACGGAUGGGGACAACAGACGGAAACGACUGCUAAUACCCAAUAGACUCCGGUUUCGCAUGAAACCGACAGGAAAGGUGGCCUCUCGAAGAAGCUACCGCCGCAGGAGGGGUUUGCGUUUGAUUAGUUAGUUGGUGGGGUAGCGGCCUACCAAGACGAUGAUCAAUAGCCGGUCUGAGAGGAUGAACGGCCACACUGGAACUGAGACACGGUCCAGACUCCUACGGGAGGCAGCAGUGGGGAAUCUUCCGCAAUGGACGAAAGUCUGACGGAGCAACGCCGCGUGAGUGAAGACGGCCUUCGGGUUGUAAAGCUCUGUUAUUCGGGAAGAACGAUUCGUUUGUGAACAAUGAACGGAAGUGACGGUACCGAAAGAGAAAGCCACGGCUAACUACGUGCCAGCAGCCGCGGUAAUACGUAGGUGGCAAGCGUUGUCCGGAAUUAUUGGGCGUAAAGAGCGCGUAGGCGGUAUGGUAAGUCUGUCUUAGAAGUGCGGGGCUUAACCCCGUGAGGGGACAGAGACUGUCAUACUGGAGUCUCGGAGAGG